UGCCUAACACAUGCAAGUCGAACGGUAACAGGUCUUCGGAUGCUGACGAGUGGCGCACGGGUGAGUAACGCGUGGAUAUCUGCCUAUGAGUGGGGGACAACUUUCGGAAACGAAAGCUAAUACCGCAUAAUCUCUACGGAGCAAAGCAGGGGACCUUUCGGGGCCUUGUGCUUAUAGAUGAGUCCGCGUCAGAUUAGCUAGUYGGUGGGGUAAGAGCCUACCAAGGCGAUGAUCUGUAGCUGGUUUGAGAGGAUGAUCAGUCACACUGGAACUGAGACACGGUCCAGACUCCUACGGGAGGCAGCAGUGGGGAAUUUUGCACAAUGGGCGCAAGCCUGAUGCAGCGAUGCCGCGUGUGGGAAGAAGGCCUUUGGGUUGUAAACCACUUUCAAUUGGGAAGAAGGGAUGAGUAUUAAUAAUACUCUGACUUGACGGUACCUUUAGAAGAAGCACCGGCUAAUUUCGUGCCAGCAGCCGCGGUAAUACGAAAGGUGCAAGCGUUGUUCGGAUUUACUGGGCGUAAAGAGAUCGUAGGUGGUUUGUUAAGUUAGAUGUGAAAUCCCGGGGCUCAACCUCGGAACUGCAUCUAAAACUGGCAGACUUGAGUUCGGGAGGGGUAAGCGGAAUUCCGUGUGUAGCAGUGAAAUGCGUAGAUAUACGGAGGAACACCUGAGGCGAAGGCGGCUUACUGGACCGAUACUGACACUGAGGAUCGAAAGCGUGGGUAGCAAACAGGAUUAGAUACCCUGGUAGUCCACGCCCUAAACGAUGUCAACUAGCCGUUGCGGGUAUCGACCCCUGCAGUGGCGCAGCUAACGCGAUAAGUUGACCGCCUGGGGAGUACGGUC
rnacentral:rRNA from 1 species